rnacentral:rRNA from 1 species
CGGUAAUACGUAGGGUGCGAGCGUUAAUCGGAAUUACUGGGCGUAAAGCGUGCGCAGGCGGUUUGCUAAGACCGAUGUGAAAUCCCCGGGCUCAACCUGGGAACUGCAUUGGUGACUGGCAGGCUAGAGUAUGGCAGAGGGGGGUAGAAUUCCACGUGUAGCAGCGAAACGCGUAGAGAUGUGGAGGAAUACCGAUGGCGAAGGCAGCCCCCUGGGCCAAUACUGACGCUCAUGCACGAAAGCGUGGGGAGCAAACAGGAUUAGAUACCCUGGUAGUCCACGCCCUAAACGAUGUCAACUAGUUGUUGGGGAUUCAUUUCCUUAGUAACGUAGCUAACGCGUGAAGUUGACCGCCUGGGGAGUACGGUCGCAAGAUUAAAACUCAAAGGAAUUGACGGGGACCCGCACAAGCGGUGGAUGAUGUGGAUUAAUUCGAUGCAACGCGAAAAACCUUACCUACCCUUGACAUGGUCGGAAUCCCGCUGAGAGGUGGGAGUGCUCGAAAGAGAACCGGCGCACAGGUGCUGCACGGCUGUCGUCAGCUCGUGUCGUGAGAUGUUGGGUUAAGUCCCGCAACGAGCGCAACCCUUGUCCUUAGUUGCUACGCAAGAGCACUCUAAGGAGACUGCCGGUGACAAACCGGAGGAAGGUGGGGAUGACGUCAAGUCCUCAUGGCCCUUAUGGGUAGGGCUUCACACGUCAUACAAUGGUCGGAACAGAGGGUUGCCAACCCGCGAGGGGGAGCUAAUCCCAGAAAACCGAUCGUAGUCCGGAUUGCACUCUGCAACUCGAGUGCAUGAAGCUGGAAUCGCUAGUAAUCGCGGAUCAGCAUGCCGCGGUGAAUACGUUCCCGGG